UAGGGAAUCUUCGGCAAUGGGGGCAACCCUGACCGAGCAACGCCGCGUGAGUGAAGAAGGUUUUCGGAUCGUAAAGCUCUGUUGUAAGAGAAGAACGUGUGUGGGAGUGGAAAGUUCACACAGUGACGGUAACUUACCAGAAAGGGACGGCUAACUACGUACAG
rnacentral:rRNA from 1 species